CGCGCAGGCGGUCGUUCAAGUCGCGUGUGAAAGCCCCCGGCUCAACUGGGGAGGGUCACGCGAUACUGAUCGACUCGAAGGCAGGAGAGGGAAGUGGAAUUCCCGGUGUAGUGGUGAAAUGCGUAGAUAUCGGGAGGAACACCAGUGGCGAAGGCGACUUCCUGGCCUGUUCUUGACGCUGAGGCGCGAAAGCUAGGGAGCAAACG
rnacentral:rRNA from 1 species